rnacentral:rRNA from 1 species
UACGGGGGGAGCAAGCGUUGUCCGGAUUUAUUGGGCGUAAAGAGCUCGUAGGCGGUUCAGUAAGUCGGGUGUGAAAACUCUGGGCUUAACCCAGAGCCGCCACCCGAUACUGCUGUGACUAGAGUCCGGUAGGGGAGUGGGGAAUUCCUAGUGUAGCGGUGAAAUGCGCAGAUAUUAGGAGGAACACCGGUGGCGAAGGCGCCACUCUGGGCCGGAACUGACGCUGAGGAGCGAAAGCGUGGGUAGCAAACAGG